CCUACGGGUGGCAGCAGUGAGGAAUAUUGGUCAAUGGACGAGAGUCUGAACCAGCCAUGCCGCGUGCGGGAAGACGGCUCUAUGAGUUGUAAACUGCUUUUGUACGAGGGUAAAAGCCGAUACGCGUAUCGGUCUGAGAGUAUCCGAAGAAAAAGGAUCGGCUAACUCCGUGCCAGCAGCCGCGGUAAUACGGAGGAUUCAAGCGUUAUCCGGAUUUAUUGGGUUUAAAGGGUGCGUAGGCGGUCGGAUAAGUUAGAGGUGAAAUCCCGAGGCUCAACUUCGGAAUUGCCGCUGAUACGGUUCGGCUAGAGAGGAGGUGAGGUAGGCGGAAUGCAUGGUGUAGCGGUGAAAUGCAUAGAGAUCACACAGAACACCGAUUGCGAAGGCAGCAUACCAACCUACUGCUGACGCUGAGGCACGAAAGCGUGGGGAUCAAACAGGAUUAGAUACCCCUGUAGUC
rnacentral:rRNA from 1 species